CCUACGGGUGGCAGCAGUGGGGAAUAUUGCACAAUGGGGGAAACCCUGAUGCAGCGACGCCGCGUGAGUGAAGAAGUAUUUCGGUAUGUAAAGCUCUAUCAGCAGGGAAGAAAAUGACGGUACCUGACUAAGAAGCCCCGGCUAACUACGUGCCAGCAGCCGCGGUAAUACGUAGGGGGCAAGCGUUAUCCGGAUUGACUGGGUGUAAAGGGAGCGUAGGUGGCAUGGUAAGCCAGAAGUGAAAACCCGGGGCUCAACCCCGCGGAUUGCUUUUGGAACUAUCAGGCGGGAGUGCUGGUGGGGUAAGCGGAAUGCCUAGUGUAGCGGUGAAAUGCGUAGAUAUUAGGAAGAACACCGGUGGCGAAGGCGGCUUACUGGACAGAAACUGACACUGAGGCUCGAAAGCGUGGGGAGCAAACAGGAUUAGAUACCCCUGUAGUC
rnacentral:rRNA from 1 species